AACUCAACUAUUCAAAAUCACUUCAAUAUGAAAUUCCAAAGAAGAUUAGGAAGAAUUAGGAGAGGGAGGUAAACUUAGGGUUAAACAUAAAUAUUAUAAUUACUUAAAUAUAAACAUAUAUAUUUUCGGUCGGGUUCGAGGAUGGGCACCCCAAUACCAUCCCCUUCCCAUACCCGUCGGGGAUUUUUCAUGUUCAGGGAUCCCCGUACUCGAUACCAAUUUGGCCCCGAAAUAUCCCCCUGUUAGGGUCGGGGACCCGCACCCAUGGGGAUAUUUGUGUUUGGGGGCUGUUGAAAAUCAUGGCCGGAUUUGAAGCUUGCGAAGAGAUAGCGGCCGGGAAGUUCGAAUGGAGCUAGAAAUCUCGGCUGGGAUUGGAGAAGUUCGCGGACAGAGGUGUUGGA
rnacentral:lncRNA from 1 species